AGUUUUGAAACGUGUCCCAGUGGCAACUAGAUAUUCUUGCUCUCCAGCUCUCUGCCGUCAUCCAUCUGCCUUGCAAAUUCACAACUCCGGGAACUUUCCUGACAGUUCAGGCUUCUUAUUCCAAAACUCAAGUCCAAACCUGAGAAAACGACUUACAGAGACAGAGCAGGGGAGGGGCAGAGAGAAGGAAAGACAGAAUGCCAAGCCGGCUCCGCACCGCCAGUGCUGUUUGUGAGAAGAAUGGGGAAAAGAGCAAUCCUGGCAGGGAAGCCAGCUUGGUGACAGGUGCUAUCCUCUUGCUGGAGACAGAGGAGUGAACACGUGUCUGUUCUCAAGAAGCUCCCAUUCCCAUGGGGGAGACACACGCUAAGCAACUUCUAUAGAAAAAUCCACCUUCAGGAAGAGUAUUCGUGGGUCACAGUGAUGCUUCUUUCCAUGACCUUGGAAAGUUUGGCCAUGCAGAGCAUGAGCUAUGGAGCUGGAGUACCUGGGCUUAAAACCAGGCAUUUCUAGCCCUGGCCUCACCGGCCGCAUGACUUGAGGCCUGACACUUAGUAGAGAGGAAAAUAUACAAAUGGCCAAUAAGCACAUGAGCACAUCAUUUGUCAUCAGGGAAAUGAAAAUCCAAACCACAAUGAGAUAGCACAUCACACCUACUCGUACAGCUAGCAAAAGAUGGGAUAAUAACAAGCCUUCAUGAGGAUCUGGAAAAAUUGGAGCCUUCCUACACUGCUGAUGGGAUAUAAAAUGGCAAAGCUGUUCUGGAAAAUCAUCUGACAGAUGCUGAUAAACUUCCUGCCUGCUAAUCUCCAUCUCAGAGUCUGCUUCCUGGGGACCCUAACCAGAGAUACCACUCAGACCUCAAAUCAGAGAUCUCCAACAUUAGGGCCUGGCAAUCUAUGGAAACAACAAUGAAGAAAUCUCCACUUACUCAUCCAACAAUUAUUUACUAAGGACCAAUUAUGAGCCAAGUUGCUUCCAGGCAUUAGGAAUAAAGCUGUGAAUAAGGCAAAUAUUUGCCUUCCUGGAGAGCUUUCUAGUGUGGGGGGCAGACAAAACCAAAUAACAAUAUGUCAGGCAGAGAUAUAUACUUGAAAAAAACAAAUCAGGUGAAAAGUUAGAGUUUCGAGAUAAGAGGAGCUGCCAUUGGGUGGUCAGGGAAGGCAUUUCUGAGGCAGUGACGUGGAGCAGAACCCUAAAGGAAGUCAGCAAUGCAAAGAUUCAGGGGAAAAGCAUUCCCAGCAGUCAACUAAAACAAAAAGGUCCAAGGUAGGAAGGAGCAUUGGGUUUUUAAGGAACAGUAGGGGGGCCAGAAUGGCAGAGUGGAGUGAGCACAGUGGCAGGUGAGAUCAGAGGCCCUGAAGCUGCCUUGUAUUUUGAGCACAGUGGGAAGCAUUCAAGGGCUUUGAGCUAGAAAGCAACAAGACCUGACUUAUGUUUAAAGACAUCACCCUGACUGCCAUGGGGGAAGAGUAGAAGCGGGAGACCAGUGAAGAUGCAUGGCAAAAGUCUAGGAGGGGGAUCAUGGUAUUUAGAACAGUGUGGAUGGGGUAAGAAGUAGCUACAUGUGGGGAUGUAUUUUAAAGUUGGAGUCUCAGGGGGUGCCUUAGUGGCUCAGUCAGUUAAGCAUUCGACUUCGGCUCAGGUCAUGAUCUCAUGGUUCAUGAGUUCAAGCCCUGCAUUGGGCUCUGUGCUGAAAGCUCAGAGUCUGGAGCCUACUUUGUAUUCUCUCUCUCUCUCUCUCUCUCUCUCUCUCUCUCUCUCUCUCUCUCCACCACCCCCC